CUUAUAGCCAGCGGACGCGGACUGAUGGUGGAUGAGGACCUUCCUCCUGUCAGGGGCGGCUCAGCCCUCAGUGCACAGUGCAGCCAUGCAUCUGCAGAGGAACCCUGCUGACCUCCACAGUACCUCAUGGACCUCCUACAGCUAAAUAUCGAG